GAUCAUACGGCAGCCGGAGUGGCCCCCACGAUAGGGACCGACGUUCCAUCAGGGGUGAGCAGACGUGCGCCGGCCGUACGCCCCCAUUCUUGUCUACAUCACCCGGUUGCCUCGGCGGGCCGCGCUCCCCCUGCCAGGGAGAGCCGUCCGGCGGGCCCCUUCUGGGAGCCUCGAGCCGGACCGCGCCCGCCGGAGGACAGACACCAAGAAAAAAUUCUCUGAAGAGCUGUCAGUCUGAGCGUUUAGCAAGCACAAUCAGUUAAAACUUUCAACAACGGAUCUCUUGGUUCCGGCAUCGAUGAAGAACGCAGCGAAAUGCGAUAAGUAAUGUGAAUUGCAGAAUUCCGUGAAUCAUCGAAUCUUUGAACGCACAUUGCGCCCUCUGGCAUUCCGGGGGGCAUGCCUGUUCGAGCGUCAUUUCAACCCCUCAAGCCCGGCUUGUGUGAUGGACGACCGUCCGGCCCCUCCCUUCGGGGGCGGGACGCGCCCGAAAAGCAGUGGCCAGGCCGCGAUUCCGGCUCCUAGGCGAAUGGGCAGCCAAUUCAGCGCCCUCAGGACCGGCCGCCCUGGCCCCNA
rnacentral:misc_RNA from 1 species